CUUAGAACAUUGGAAAAGGAGUUCUAGGCCUUUUUAUGGAGAAAAUCCUUCGGAACGGAGGGGAGAGCAUCCUCUCUCUUGGUCUACAAUUUAAGAGCCAAAAAGCCUUAAAGGCUGUAACAAUCCAGGACCUCACCCAAAAUUGCUAACCGAAAAAUAUUAUUUGGGUUCCUUGAUCCUAUAUAAGUACCCAAGAUCUACCCAGCGAAUAAUCGAUGUGGGAUUAAACGCAUGCCCGCACGGGUACUCACAUACUCCCCCCGUUUAAGCCUUGACAUCCUCGUCAGGCUAAGGAUUCAAAUCUAUUCAAAUCUAAUCACAAACACCAUGAUCGGCUCAUGGUUAGCCCCAAUGAAUCCGUGCUGCAGUGUUCCCUAGUUCACAUAGAUUAUUGGCCGGGUC
rnacentral:lncRNA from 1 species